CCUACGGGAGGCUGCAGUGGGGAAUAUUAGACAAUGGGGGCAACCCUGAUCCAGCCAUGCCGCGUGUGUGAAGAAGGCCCUCGGGUUGUAAAGCACUUUCAGUGAGGAAGAACGCCUGGUGGUUAAUACCCAUCAGGAAAGACAUCACUCACAGAAGAAGCACCGGCUAACUCCGUGCCAGCAGCCGCGGUAAUACGGAGGGUGCGAGCGUUAAUCGGAAUUACUGGGCGUAAAGCGCGCGUAGGUGGCUUGAUAAGCCGGUUGUGAAAGCCCCGGGCUCAACCUGGGAAUGGCAUCCGGAACUGUCAAGCUAGAGUGCAGGAGAGGAAGGUAGAAUUCCCGGUGUAGCGGUGAAAUGCGUAGAGAUCGGGAGGAAUACCAGUGGCGAAGGCGGCCUUCUGGACUGACACUGACACUGAGGUGCGAAAGCGUGGGUAGCAAACAGGAUUAGAUACCCGGGUAGUC
rnacentral:rRNA from 1 species